rnacentral:rRNA from 1 species
AGUGAACGCUGGCGGUAGGCCUAACACAUGCAAGUCGAACGGCAGCACAGUAAGAGCUUGCUCUUACGGGUGGCGAGUGGCGGACGGGUGAGGAAUACAUCGGAAUCUACUUUUUCGUGGGGGAUAACGUAGGGAAACUUACGCUAAUACCGCAUACGACCUACGGGUGAAAGCAGGGGAUCUUCGGACCUUGCGCGAUUGAAUGAGCCGAUGUCGGAUUAGCUAGUUGGCGGGGUAAAGGCCCACCAAGGCGACGAUCCGUAGCUGGUCUGAGAGGAUGAUCAGCCACACUGGAACGGAGACACGGUCCAGACUCCUACGGGAGGCGGCAGUGGGGAAUAUUGGACAAUGGGCGCAAGCCUGAUCCAGCCAUACCGCGUGGGUGAAGAAGGCCUUCGGGUUGUAAAGCCCUCUUGUUGGGAAAGAAAAGCAGCAGGUUAAUACCCCGCUGUUCUGACGGUACCCAAAGAAUAAGCACCGGCUAACUUCGUG